rnacentral:rRNA from 1 species
CCCUUAGAUGUUCUGGGCCGCACGCGCGCUACACUGAUGCAUUCAACGAGUCUAAAACCUGGUCUGAUAGGGCUGGGUAAUCUUUUGAAAGUGCAUCGUGAUUGGGAUAGAUGAUUGCAAUUCUUCAUCUUCAACGAGGAAUGCCUAGUAAACGCAAGUCAUCAGCUUGCAUUGAUUACGUCCCUGCCCUUUGUACACACCGCCCGUCGCUCCUACCGAUUGAAUGAUCCGAUGAAUACCAUGGAUUGAGAGUACGAAUGGGAUCGCUCAUUUCUGCUGCUCGAGAAGUGGAGUAAAUCUUAUCAUUUAGAGGAAGGAGAAGUCGUAACA